rnacentral:piRNA from 1 species
UUGAUGAACGAGGGUUCUCCAGC